GACCGCGGAAGCGGUAGGACACGCCCCCUCUUAUGCAAAUACAGCCGCGCGAGCUGUCGGUCUGGGGCGGAGGACCCCUCUGAUUGGCUGCAGCGAGGCCAUUUAUUGUGUGACAGCCCCCAUCACAUGGAUGGUUGUCUAUUAACUUGUUCAAAAAAGUAUCAGGAGUUGUCAGGCUCUCCUCUCUCUCCACUGCAAAGUGCCCAGUUGUUGGUUUCUAUAACUUGCAAAGAGUAACGAAAAUAUUAACAAAUUCCACGCUCGUUCCUUCACUUUUUGGUUUUGUUGACGGACCGAGACGAGAAAAGUUUCUUUUUUUAAAACCAACGCCAACCCCCUCCCCCUCCAAAAAAAAGACAUUGAAAACAAAAGCUCUCAGAACAUCAGGUUGAAUGUACAACAUGAUGGAAACCGAUCUCAAACCGCCCGCCCCACAACAAACUUCGGGGGGAACGGGCAACUCCAACUCGGCGGGAAACAACGCGAAAAACAGCCCAGACAGGGUCAAGAGACCCAUGAAUGCGUUUAUGGUCUGGUCCAGGGGCCAGCGGCGGAAAAUGGCCCAAGAAAACCCCAAAAUGCACAAUUCCGAGAUCAGCAAGAGGCUCGGGGCGGAGUGGAAACUUUUAUCCGAGGCCGAGAAGAGGCCGUUCAUCGACGAGGCGAAGCGGCUGCGAGCCCUGCACAUGAAGGAGCACCCGGAUUAUAAAUACCGGCCCCGGAGGAAAACCAAGACCCUGAUGAAAAAGGACAAGUACACUCUGCCGGGCGGCCUGCUGGCGCCCGGCGCCAAUGCAAUGAACGCCGGGGUCGGGGUCGGCGUCGGCGCUGGAGUCAACCAGAGGAUGGACGGUUACGCGCACAUGAACGGCUGGGCGAACGGGGGCUACAGCAUGAUGCAGGAACAGCUCGGCUACUCUCAGCACCAGGGCCUGAACGCUCACAACGUGGCCCAGAUGCAGCAGAUGCACCGCUACGAUAUGAGCGCGCUGCAGUACAACUCAAUGACCAGCGCUCAGACCUACAUGAACGGCUCGCCCACCUACAGCAUGUCCCCAGCCUACACGCAGCAAGGCACAGAUCAGCCUACCCCGAGCGAAGAGGGACUCUAUCAACCGUGUCAAGCGCGUCUUUGCCGGCCAGGGUCAGACAGCUUUGGUCAAAUUAAUUAUUGAUAAAACCUACAGAUGCAAUCGUGGUCAGACCUUUCUAAAGAAAGCAUGAUGUCCCACCCACAUGAUCUUUAUCGCAGUGUAAUAUGCUUAUAUGAAUGCAAACAUAGCAUUAAAUACAAUAAUAAAGUGCAUCUCAAACGCCAAAUGCAUCAAAUUUAAACGACUGCUUGCUGACUAUAAUCUACCUUCUAAUUUUAGAUUUUAUAAUUUUCCAUUUAUAUUUGUAGUAAACUUGUCAUUUCAUGGCCCUAAUGCACCAUAAGCGAAUAUGUUUUGGUAUAAAUCCGCUGUACUUGUUGUGGAGAUUACCUGACAAUAAUAUACAUUGAAUGAGAAUAGAUAAGCUAACGGAACAUGAACUAAUAAUUACAAUGCUGAAUUAAAUCAGCUAGGGGGUUCUCAAUCGAGACCUUUGUAUAUUGGUCCAUUGAGGGUUCCAGCUGACAGCGUUUUGACAGAAAAUAGCCUCAAACCUGCAGUGUGCCUCGGAGGGGCAAGCGAUACCGCUAAAGUGGAAGUGUGAUGGGAUUCCCAUUUAAAGCUGUUACCUCGCGACAAUAAAAUGCCGCCUUUCUGCUAGGAAGGUUUAACUUCCAAUAACUCACCAACACUGAGAUAAAGCCCAAGAGUCACAGUAAAUAAAGACAAUUCAGAUCGUGGGGAUCUCCUAUUCGACUUGAGAUUAAAAACGCGCAGAAAAGAUGUAACUUCCAUCGUGUCAACGGGGGAGCGUGUACAACAUCAUGCCGACCCUAAGGGUUUGCUUUUGGUGCAACAGGUGCCAUCAUAUAAUACAUUGCGAUUUCUCCAUUGGUCUUUGCCCAACGGAGAGUUUCUAAGACUGGGACACUUCUUUACACUUUAUAAAAAUAAGAUAACUUUUCCCUUUGAGGGGAAAAGGAUUAUUUUUGUUUAUAAUUGCGCCACUUCUUCAAGCAAUGCGUAAUGCAAUUUACGAAUGUUAUAGAAACGCAUUAUUUAGUCAGAUAAUGAAAGGAGGCAAGAGAAACUUUAAAUCGGCUAUCAUUGUCUUUCUUAUUCGAUGCCAAAUUCAUAUUUUGCCUUAGAUUGUCGGAAUAACUAGAGAUUUAAUUAGUUAAUUAAAUAGACCUCUAGUAUAAUAUUGGUUAACAUUAAUCUCCUCAUUUAACACUUAGGACAGCUUGCUAAAGAAAUCAUGGCGCAGACGGAUUAACGCCACAAACUGAGUUGUCAUAGCGAUUGUCUUCUUAAACUACACUUGGCAGCUUGUGGGACCUAUUGCUAUAUUAUAACUGAAAAAUGUAAACGACUUCAACCCCAAGUACAUGUCUUCCAAUUCCUCUAUUAAUCAAGUAGUGAUAGCUGCCGUAGCGUUGAAAGAAAAUAAAACAUGGAUUUUGUUUUGCCAGACUGAUAAUAUAUUUCAUUUCAGUGUUAUGCUAAUAUAUUUUCAAUAAACUACAUUUAUAUAAAUACACAGAUUUAAAACAGUGCAAGCAUCUGCGGUUGAUAUAUUAAUUUAAACUUUGUAAUUUUAAAUAUGUUUCUAUUCUUUUUGCGAGUCUUUGCGAACAUUGCCUAGAUUAAAAGAAUCGGUGGGCCUAUCAGGAGUUUGAUUAAAAUCUGCUCUGGCAACGGGGACAGGUUCACACCCUGACGUCAUCGCCCUUUGCUAGUUGGCUCCCAGAUUCCCACGGCUCCCAAUCCAGAACACCCCUUCCCACCUCCCACCGCCAUCACCCCACACCCCCCCCCCCCCCCCCAAACCAGGAUUUAACAUAAGUUCCCUUUAACGAUCUCAUAGCAUUUUAAAGAUCCCUUCCCUGACGCUGUUCAUUCACACUGACGCACUAAUCUUACAUACAGUAUGGAUGUAAAAGUUUCAAAGUAGCACCUUCUCCCUGAUCAAUUCGAUGAACAUAAACUUUGCACUUUGAAUGUGUCAGGUUCAACGGUUUUAGUUGUCUGCGUGAAUUCCUAAAAGCAAAGCACAUUUCUGUUCUAGUUUGGAGGAGAAAACAAUGGGCGACUCAAGUUAACUAUCGGUUGGACUGAAGUGAGCUGUAUAUCAGCAGGCUCACUGCAGCAUAACCAUCAAACCCUGGAGAAAGUGUCAUGAAUGAUCGAAAUUGUCCGCAAGGACUCAAAUGGCACGCACCAAAUUCCAUUCUGUGGCAGUCCUUUUUUUCAUUUUCACGCCAAGCAUUCACUUUUAACUCAGCAAAAGCCACUUUUUAAAGAAUUAAUAAUAUUUGCCGUCAUUAACAUAUUUUAGGACGAGAUGCGAAUUGAUUUUAACUGCCAAUGUAAAUAUUCGGAUGCAAAUACAUUUCAGUUUACUAAUCUUUUAAUUUCUUAGAUAUGUUAUGGUUCGGAAUCUGUCAGAUCCGCAACACCAAAUAAUUCUCACUGUUUUUUUAAUAUAAUAGCACAGGGUCAAAUUCGUAGAACUACAAAUGAAAGUGACAAAACCAGCCUAAAACGUCUUUAGCGGACAUUUGUACCUUGCGACCGUGAACAAAGUGUUUGCAUCUACUGAACAUAAUAAAAUCCUCGCAGUCAGUGCUUUAUGUAAAAGCAACUUGUGACUAUCCGAGUAUUAACGUCACAACGCAAUUUUUGUUUUUUUUUAAUCUGGCUUUAAAAUUAACGUGAAAACCAAAAAGUGACUCAGUAUACACUAACCGCAGUUGAGAGGGAGUAUUUGAAUUCCAGAAACUACGUAGCACUUUGAUAAUAACUGACGGACUAAGGAACUGAUCAGCAUUAAUAACUUGGAAAUAGCUGGCAGAUAGAUGGAAAGUAAUUAAGGUAUUAAAACAAGCAAUGCAUUCCUCCAGAGGACCUUAUCAACCAAGAACAGACUCAGCAUCCCCUCAAUAUGCUAAUAUAGGAAGAGUGACGUCACGGCUCCAACUUGCCGCCACCCAUUGCGGAAACAAGGUGUGAAGUUCUGGAAAGAAACUGAUGUUUCCCAUUCUCAUUGUAAUCAUUUAACUCUUAGCCACAGUUUUAAAAACGCCAAUCCCCUACUGUUAAGUGACUUGCCGCCCCUACUCCCAUCCCAUUAUUUGAUAGUCUAAGAUGUUAUAGUUUUGUUUGACGCAUAUGAUUUAGUAACUGAAAAAAGAAUCCGGAAUUUAAAACGAAAUGAACUUUUAAAACCAAAUGUUACUGAGGCGAUGGAUCAGAAUUUGGAUUUACCCAUUAAUGUACAGAAAAAUAUAUAGUGUGACAUGGUAUUCAUGUGGCUGAGCGAUUCAUAUCAGGUUCAAAUGAUACCAAAAACUUGCUAAGUUUUAUUUCAGGAGACGAAGAUCUGUGCAACAAAACAAAAAGCUCUGACCAGCAAUAACGAUUGGUUGUGUUUUGCAAGUAUGACAACCCGACUCGAUAAGAAGGACUUCUUUUUUUGCCUGGGAACAAUGCCAUCUACUUGCCCGAUGGGCCAUUAUCAGUUACGUUUCCUUGAGUUUAAUUCUGGAGCUGGCCAUGUAUCUAAACAGCUCCUAACAUGUUGCGAAUCAGAUUGCAUAAAUCAAAAGCUUUUAUUUAAUCUAAAAUAAAAAGGUCAUUAUUGUGAUAGCAAUCAAUAUAUGAUGGCAUACUUUCUUUUGAUUCACAAUAUAAGAGUCCAACUACUCUGAAACAUUUACUGACCAGUCGUUACUUUACUAUUUAAGUAAAAUCGCAGUUCGUUCCUUCAAUUUUCAGUCUACUAGGUUGGCAGAUCCAGUGCAGAUAUUUAUAUUAUGUGUAUAUUAUACACCUUAUAUACACAAAAUCCAC